UGCUGUAAUUUGUUUUUGGCAACAGCAGAAAAAUUGACAAAAUCAAUUCUUCGAUAGGCGAAUCACGACGAUGUCAUGGAAAAUAUUCUUCGUAUUUUCUGGAGACGCCUGUUCAAACUUCACAGAAUAUUCAAGCAACGCCGUUAAUCACGCAGUCAACAAUUCUGAAUUCUCCAUGUGAAUAAUCGUUUUCCUCAAUAAUAAUCACGCACACUGCGGAGCAUUUGUAAUGCAAAGUUUAUGGGCUGAUGCAGUUGCUGGAAAGAUUUUAUUCGAAGCAGUUCAUUAUUUUGGAACGAUGGCUGUCUUGGAGAUGCUGCUUCUGUUGGUGGGGUGUCUUGCGAUGAUUGAUGCCAUCACUCUAUGUUUGACCCACACUGACUGUAUGCGAGAUUGCAUGGGACCAUUUGUUCCUAUCUGCAUGUUGGGCCUCUGCACCUGUUCACCAAUUCUGUCCUGAAGUGGUGGCAAAUUCACCUGUUGUCGAAGCAAAUUCCAUUGGCAUUUUUCUUACUCAAGCAGAGGAUUAUUCUAAAACAUGCGGCACCUUUCAAUAUCCAAAUACUAAUUCUUGUUUUUUUUUUUAAAAGCUCCCUCCUGUGGAUAUGAUAUUAAAAAAAUGAUGAGUACGAAAUAAAUAUUUUUGAUCGAAACGUUAA